rnacentral:rRNA from 1 species
GUCGCGAGAAAGUUCACUGAACCUUAUCAUUUAGAGGAAGGAGAAGUCGUAACAAGGUUUCCGUAGGUGAACCUGCGGAAGGAUCAUUGUCGAAACCUGCCCAGCAGAGCGACCCGUGAACAUGUUCAACCUCGUGGGUGUUGGGGCGUUGCUAGGCGCCUUGUGUGCCUUCUUCGUCCCUCUCCCAAGCCGGUGGGCGCUCACUCGUGAGUUGUCCCUCGGCAAAACAACGAACCCCGGCGCGUAAAGCGUCAAGGAAUAUAAACUUUAUGUGUGUACUCACCCGUUGCCUGGUUAGCCGGGCUUUGGUGUGGUGCCAUGUCUUAACAAUAAACGACUCUCGGCAACGGAUAUCUCGGCUCUCGCAUCGAUGAAGAACGUAGCGAAAUGCGAUACUUGGUGUGAAUUGCAGAAUCCCGUGAACCAUCGAGUUUUUGAACGCAAGUUGCGCCCGAAGCCUCGGCUGAGGGCACGUCUGCCUGGGCGUCACGCAUCGCGUCUCCCCCAAUUCCACCCUUGGUGGAGGGGAAGGAUGAUGGUUUCCCGUGACUCACCGGUCGCGGCUGGCCUAAAAAUGGAGCCCUCGRCAUUGAGAUGCCGCGACGAUAGGUGGUGAACAAGGCCUCGGCCAAGCAAGCAACCCGUCGCGCAUCGCCAUGCCAUUGUGUGCUCGUUGGACCCUUUGACGUUGCCUUACGGCAACAAAACCGUUGCGACCCCAGGUCAGGCGGGGCUACCCGCUGAAUUUAAGCAUAUCAAUAA